rnacentral:rRNA from 1 species
AGAGUUUGAUCCUGGCUCAGGAUGAACGCUAGCUACAGGCUUAACACAUGCAAGUCGAGGGGCAUCAGGAAGAAAGCUUGCUUUCUUUGCUGGCGACCGGCGCACGGGUGAGUAACACGUAUCCAACCUGCCCUUUACUCGGGGAUAGCCUUUCGAAAGAAAGAUUAAUACCCGAUGGCAUAAUGAUUCCGCAUGGUUUCAUUAUUAAAGGAUUCCGGUAAAGGAUGGGGAUGCGUUCCAUUAGGUUGUUGGUGAGGUAACGGCCCACCAAGCCUUCGAUGGAUAGGGGUUCUGAGAGGAAGGUCCCCCACAUUGGAACUGAGACACGGUCCAAACUCCUACGGGAGGCAGCAGUGAGGAAUAUUGGUCAAUGGGCGCUAGCCUGAACCAGCCAAGUAGCGUGAAGGAUGAAGGCUCUAUGGGUCGUAAACUUCUUUUAUAUAAGAAUAAAGUGCAGUAUGUAUACUGUUUUGUAUGUAUUAUAUGAAUAAGGAUCGGCUAACUCCGUGCCAGCAGCCGCGGUAAUACGGAGGAUCCGAGCGUUAUCCGGAUUUAUUGGGUUUAAAGGGAGCGUAGGUGGACUGGUAAGUCAGUUGUGAAAGUUUGCGGCUCAACCGUAAAAUUGCAGUUGAUACUGUCAGUCUUGAGUACAGUAGAGGUGGGCGGAAUUCGUGGUGUAGCGGUGAAAUGCUUAGAUAUCACGAAGAACUCCGAUUGCGAAGGCAGCUCACUGGACUGCAACUGACACUGAUGCUCGAAAGUGUGGGUAUCAAACAGGAUUAGAUACCCUGGUAGUCCACACAGUAAACGAUGAAUACUCGCUGUUUGCGAUAUACAGUAAGCGGCCAAGCGAAAGCAUUAAGUAUUCCACCUGGGGAGUACGCCGGCAACGGUGAAACUCAAAGGAAUUGACGGGGGCCCGCACAAGCGGAGGAACAUGUGGUUUAAUUCGAUGAUACGCGAGGAACCUUACCCGGGCUUAAAUUGCAGUGGAAUGAUGUGGAAACAUGUCAGUGAGCAAUCACCGCUGUGAAGGUGCUGCAUGGUUGUCGUCAGCUCGUGCCGUGAGGUGUCGGCUUAAGUGCCAUAACGAGCGCAACCCUUAUCUUUAGUUACUAACAGGUUAUGCUGAGGACUCUAGAGAGACUGCCGUCGUAAGAUGUGAGGAAGGUGGGGAUGACGUCAAAUCAGCACGGCCCUUACGUCCGGGGCUACACACGUGUUACAAUGGGGGGUACAGAAGGCAGCUAGCGGGUGACCGUAUGCUAAUCCCAAAAGCCUCUCUCAGUUCGGAUCGAAGUCUGCAACCCGACUUCGUGAAGCUGGAUUCGCUAGUAAUCGCGCAUCAGCCAUGGCGCGGUGAAUACGUUCCCGGGCCUUGUACACACCGCCCGUCAAGCCAUGAAAGCCGGGGGUACCUGAAGUACGUAACCGCAAGGAGCGUCCUAGGGUAAAACUGGUAAUUGGGGCUAAGUCGUAACAAGGUAGCCGUACCGGAAGGUGCGGCUG